rnacentral:misc_RNA from 1 species
UCUCCGUAGGUGAACCUGCGGAGGGAUCAUUACUGAGUGAGGGCUCCGGCCCGACCUCCAACCCCAUGUGAACCGAAACCUGUUGCUUCGGGGGCGACCCUGCCGUUCGGCGCGGCGCCCCCGGUGGACCACCCAACCCUGCAUCGUUGCGUCUGAGUCGAAAUAUAAAUCAAUCAAAACUUUCAACAACGGAUCUCUUGGUUCUGGCAUCGAUGAAGAACGCAGC